CCUGGCCGAAGGUUUCCUCCUGAGUCAGGCAGAGGAGAAGAGGCAGGCAGAACAGAAGUUGGGUCUAUCCGUGAAGAUGGAAGUUAAACUGGAAAGAGCUCCGUUGGAGGAAGGGCAGCCGGACCAGGCCCAGGAAUGUGCCCAAGAUGCCCUCUUUCAUGACAGCGAAGAAGCAGGGUUGAUCUUUUCUGUUUGUAGAGGUGUGAGAACGGCUGCUGCACGUCCAGUCCAGUCUCUGGUUUCUUUUGAGGAGGUGGCUGUGUCUUUCACAGAGGCAGAGUGGGCACU